rnacentral:rRNA from 1 species
UGCCAGCCGCCGCGGUAAUACGGAGGGUCCAAGCGUUGUCCGGAAUUACUGGGUGUAAAGGGUGCGUAGGCGGGCGUGUAAGUCAGGGGUGAAAUCCAUCGGCCUAACCGAUGAACUGCCUUUGAUACUGCACGUCUUGAAUCUCGGAGAGGCUGUCGGAAUUCGUGGUGUAGCGGUGAAAUGCGUAAAUAUCACGAGGAACACCGGAUGCGUAGGCGGACCGCUGGACGAGUAUUGACGCUGAGGCACGAAAGCGUGGGGAGCGAACAGGAUUAGAUA